UACGUAGGGGGCAAGCGUUGUCCGGAAUCAUUGGGCGUAAAGCGCGCGUAGGCGGCCCGGUAAGUCCGCUGUAAAAGUCCAGGGCUCAACCCUGGAAAGCCGGUGGAUACUGUCGGGCUAGAGUCCGGAAGAGGCGAGUGGAAUUCCUGGUGUAGCGGUGGAAUGCGCAGAUAUCAGGAGGAACACCGAUGGCGAAGGCAGCUCGCUGGGACGGUACUGACGCUGAGAAGCGAAAGCAUGGGGAGCGAACAGG
rnacentral:rRNA from 1 species